rnacentral:rRNA from 1 species
GAUGAACGCUGGCGGUAUGCUUAACACAUGCAAGUCGAACGGACUCUUCGGAGUUAGUGGCGGACGGGUGAGUAACGCGUGAGAAUCUGGCUUUGGGUUCGGGACAACCACUGGAAACGGUGGCUAAUACCGGAUGUGCCGAGAGGUAAAAGAGAAAUUGCCUGAAGAUGGGCUCGCGUCUGAUUAGCUAGUUGGUGAGGUAAAGGCUCACCAAGGCAGCGAUCAGUAGCUGGUCUGAGAGGAUGACCAGCCACACUGGGACUGAGACACGGCCCAGACUCCUACGGGAGGCAGCAGUGGGGAAUUUUCCGCAAUGGGCGAAAGCCUGACGGAGCAGUACCGCGUGAGGGAAGAAGGCUCUUGGGUUGUAAACCUCUUUUCUUAGGGAAGAACAAAAUGACGGUACCGAAGGAAUCAGCAUCGGCUAACUCCGU